UGGUGGAGUGAUUUGUCUGGUUAAUUCCGUUAACGAACGAGACCUCAACUUGCUAUUCCUUUGCGCCUAUUUCCGGAUAGAUGUGUGGUAUCUUAGAGGGACAUUGUGCGUCUAGCACAAGGAGGAAUGAGGCAAUAACA
rnacentral:rRNA from 1 species